rnacentral:tRNA from 1 species
GUGGAUGUAGCUCAGUGGUAGAGUGCCCGCUCAGCAUGUGUGAGGUCAUGGGUUCAAUCCCCAGUAUCUCCA